rnacentral:rRNA from 1 species
CAGCAGCCGCGGUAAUACGAGGGGGGCAAGCGUUGUUCGGAUUUAUUGGGCGUAAAGGGUGCGUAGGCGGUUUGGCAAGUCUUGUGUGAAAUCUUCGGGCUCAACCCGAAGCCUGCACGAGAAACUACCGGGCUUGAGUAUUGGAGAGGUGAGUGGAAUUUCCGGUGUAGCGGUGAAAUGCGUAGAUAUCGGAAGGAACACCUGUGGCGAAAGCGGCUCACUGGACCAUAACUGACGCUGAGGCGCGAAAGCUAGGGGAGCAAACAGGAUUAGAUACCCGGGUAGUCCCUGUCUCUUAUAA